rnacentral:rRNA from 1 species
CCUACGGUGGACAGCAGUGAGGAAUAUUGGUCAAUGGCCGGAAGGCUGAACCAGCCAAGCCGCGUGAAGGACGAAGGUGCCAAGCAUUGUAAACUUCUUUUGUCAAGGGACAAAAUCAGGCUCGAGAGCCUGACCGAGGGUACUUGAAGAAAAAGCAUCGGCUAACUCCGUGCCAGCAGCCGCGGUAAUACGGAGGAUGCGAAGGUUAUCCGGAUUUAUGGGGUUUAAAGGGUGCGUAGGGGGACUGUUAAGUCAGCGGGAAAAGCCCGGGGCUCAACCCCGGCGAGCCGUUGAAAAUGGCGGUCUGGAGAUGUCGAGAGGUAUGCGGAAUGCGCAGUGUAGCGGUGAAAUGCUUAGAUAUUGCGCAGAACUCCGAUUGCGAAGGCAGCAUACCGGCGGCGAUCUGACGCUGAGGCACGAAAGCGUGGGUAUCGAACAGGAUUAGAUACCCGGGUAGUC